UUCGCUUCGUUCUUUGUGGCACCGUCAAAAUUUUGUUUGGAUUGAAGAAAUUUUGACAGCCAUGGCAGUGCCAAAAUUUCUUCCAUGCAAACAAAAAUUUUAUCUUCCUUUCGCCAUGGAUUUCCAUACCUUGUCAAGGAGAGAGUUCCAAGCCCUAAGAGAAAUAAGAUUCCAGCCAAUAUCACUUAUGUCGCCAUGCCGACACUCUUGCUGCUCGAUCUUCAAUCUGAGUCAUUUUCUUUCUUGUAGUGUUCAUCUUUUGAUUUUAGAUUGUUUAGUUCAAGAUUUUUUUUUCUGAUUUCGGACUGAUUGCUCUUCGUAUAGGCUGAAGGAAUCGAGGAGAUUUUGUACGGUGAUAGAUCUGGAGUACCUGAACCGUUUAUUGAUUAUGUAGUUUAAAUCUUGUGAUUUUGGUGAUUUUGAAGCGUAUAAUACAAUUCUACUGUAUUAUGAGGUAAAUAAGAUUUUUUUAGGGUUUUUGAAAGUUAAUUUAGAUAUUUCGUUAUUUGCUCUUGGUAUAGGUUGAAGGAAUCGACCAGUUUUCGAGCCUUGAUAGAUCUGGAGUACCUGAAUCGCUGAUGAAAGCAGAGGCGGAAAUUCCACGAACUGCAUUGAGAUCUUCGAAAAGAAGGAAGGCCCUAAAUGAAGCGUAUAAUAUAAUUAUACUGUGUUAUGAGGUAAAUAGGAUUUUUCCAGGGUUUUUGAAAGUUAAUUUAGAUAUUUCGUUAUUUGCUCUUGGCUAGGACGUUGAUGGAAUCGACCAGUUUUCGAGCCUUGAUAUAUCUAGAGUACCUGAAUCGUUGAUGAAAGCAGAGGCGAAAAUUCCACGAACUGCAUUGAGAUCUUCGAAAAGAAGAAAGGCCCUAAAAGAUGAAGCGUAUAAUAUAAUUCUACUGUGUUAUGAGGUAAAUAAGAUUUUUCUAGGGUUUUUGAAAGUUAAUUUAGAUAUUUCUUGGUAUACGAAAAGAAGAAAGGCCCUGAAAGAUGAGGCAACUACCACUCGAUCACAUAGAGAACUUCGAAAAGAAGAAAGGCCCUCGAUGAUGAGGUAAUUACUACUCGAUCACGCCGAGGUGCAUCAUGAGUUUAGGGGAGAUUAGAAAAUGGAAAACAUUACUGUCCAAAUGCCGUUCAAUGAUAUGCAUCACAGUUCAGAACACGUGAAAGAAAAUAGGGAAUUAGAAAAUGGAGCCAAUUAUUGUUCAUAUGUCAAGUUCGACGAUAUGUUAGAAUAAGUGGUCUUAUAUUUGUGUAUCUCACCGUGCAAGAUGAGGUAAUUACUUGGUAUACGAAAAGAAGAAAGGCCCUGAAAGAUGAGGCAACUACCACUCGAUCACAUAGAGAACUUCGAAAAGAAGAAAGGCCCUCGAUGAUGAGGUAAUUACUACUCGAUCACGCCGAGGUGCAUCAUGAGUUUAGGGGAGAUCAGAAAAUGGAAAAAAUUACUGUCCAAAUGCCGUUCAAUGAUAUGCCUCACAGUUCAGAACACGUGAAGGAAAAUAGGGAAUUAGAAAAUGGAGCUAAUUAUUGUUCAUAUGUCAAGUUCGACGAUAUGUUAGAUGAGGUAAUUACUUGGUAUACGAAAAGAAGAAAGACCCUCAAAGAUGAGGCAACUACCACUCGAUCACAUAGAGAACUUCGAAAAGAAGAAGGGCCCUCGAUGAUGAGGUAAUUACUACUCGAUCACGCCGAGGUGCAUCAUGAGUUUAGGGGAGAUCAGAAAAUGGAAAAAAUUACUGUCCAAAUGCCGUUCAAUGAUAUGCCUCACAGUUCAGGUUUGCAUUUUGUAAUUUUCUUAUUCUUUUCUGAUUUGCAUAUCGAUAUCCUUUAGUUGAAAAUUUUGAUGAUUGAUAGCAAUUGGUGCAGAACACGUGAAAGAAAAUAGGGAAUUAGAAAAUGGAGGCAAUUAUUGUUCAUAUGUCAAUUUCGACGAUAUGUUAGGAUGGAGAUAUAGGAGGAAGAAUGGAGCUAGAAAAGUAAGGGAGAGAGUUAUACUUUAUCAACUUUAAGUGGUCUUAUAGUUAUGCUUAAGGGCUGAAGAGCAAGAACCACUAAAAGAGAAGUAUUUGAUUGUCCAACAAGUAAUAAGCUUGUCCUCAAUCAUCCAACCAUCUUUCUUGUAAAGAAAGAGGCUUCUCCUCUGGCAACCAAAGUCGUCCCUUGUUAACAGAUGAAAAGUAAAUGAAGCUUCCAAAGAUGAUGAUUCUGUGGAGAUUCUGUCUAGAAAAUAAAAGAUUGUCGUUGUAAAAAACCUCACCAGAUCCCCUCUCAGUGCAAAGUUAAUAUGUGGUUGUUAAGGAACGAGAUAAACGAGGAAGAAGGAAGAGUGAAUACGUAGAAAACACUUCCUUUUCUCAGGUUCUUCUAUUCCUUUUCUUUAAAGUUUUGGAAUUUUUCUCUUGUCAUAUUGUAUAUGUUAUUGAUCUUUCCUUUAUCAUUAUUCAUUUUGAUUUUAGAGAUCGUC